rnacentral:lncRNA from 1 species
GAUUCACUUCAGUUCAUACAUCAGACCUACCAUGAUAGUUCAGCAACAAUAUUUCAAAACCUGCAAUGCAAAAAUAUCGAGCAAGCAACCAUCCUGCACAACAACAUGACUAUGCCAUCAUGACUCAAACCUGCUGCAAUACAAAAGGCCAAAGGUUCACCAUGAGCAAGAGUCCAAUGUAGAAAAACACAAGCAUGCACCAAAUAAGAUCCUACAAAAAACCAGGUUUUAGAGUGGAGGAAAUUCAUGAACUUUGAUCUAACUUCCAGCAAGACAAUGUGAA